UGGGGCAGCUGGACGAUCGCGUGUUGUGCGAACAACCCGAGGAACGUCCGGGCUCCGUAGAGCAAGGUGGUGGGUAACGCCCACUCGGGGCAACCCGCAGGCCAGUGCCACAGAAAACAGACCGCCUCUGCUUGCAGAGGUAAGGGUGAAACGGCGGUGUAAGAGACCACCGCUUUCCAGGUGACUGGAAAGGCAAGGUAAACCCCACUUGGAGCAAGGCCAGACAGGGCACGUUCGAGGGCUGCUCGCCCGAGUGUCCGGGUAGGCCGCUAGAGGGCGUCGGCAACGGCGUCCGUAGAUGGAUGAUCGUCGCCGCCGGACCGGCAACGGUCCGGCGGAACAGAACCCGGCGUACAGGCUGCCCCAUCCG
rnacentral:RNase_P_RNA from 1 species